rnacentral:rRNA from 1 species
GUGGGGAAUCUUGCGCAAUGGGAGAAAUCCUGACGCAGCGACGCCGCGUGGGCGACGAAGGCCUUCGGGUUGUAAAGCCCUGUGGGAAGGGACGAAAAUGCGCGGAGAUAAUACCUCCGUGAACUGACGGUACCUUUUUAGCAAGCACCGGCUAACUCUGUGCCAGCAGCCGCGGUAAGACAGAGGGUGCAAACGUUGCUCGGAAUUACUGGGCGUAAAGCGCGUGUAGGCGGUUAUGCAAGUCGGGUGUGAAAGCCCAGGGCUCAACCCUGGAAGUGCACUCGAUACUACGUAGCUAGAGUACUGAAGAGGAUAGCGGAAUUCCCGGUGUAGAGGUGAAAUUCGUAGAUAUCGGGAGGAACACCAGUGGCGAAGGCGGCUAUCUGGCCAGAUACUGACGCUGAGACGCGAAAGCGUGGGGAGCAAACAGGAUUAGAUACCCGGGUAGUCC